rnacentral:rRNA from 1 species
CGGGAAACUGGGUAUAAUACCCGAUAGGUCUCGAUUGCUGGAAUGCAUCGAGAUUUAAAGCUCCGGCGCCUAAGGAUGGGUCUGCGGCCUAUCAGGUAGUAGUGGGUGUAGCGUACCUACUAGCCUACGACGGGUACGGGUUGUGAGAGCAAGAGCCCGGAGAUGGAUUCUGAGACACGAAUCCAGGCCCUACGGGGUGCAGCAGGCGCGAAAACUUUACAAUGCUGGCAACAGCGAUAAGGGAACCUCGAGUGCCAGGUUACAAAUCUGGCUGUCGAGAUGCCUAAAAAGCAUUUCAUAGCAAGGGCCGGGCAAGACCGGUGCCAGCCGCCGCGGUAACACCGGCGGCUCGAGUGGUAACCGUUAUUAUUGGGUCUAAAGGGUCUGUAGCCGGCCGGAUAAGUCUCUUGAGAAAUCUGGCAGCUUAACUGUCAGGCUUUCAGGAGAUACUGUCUGGCUCGAGGCCGGGAGAGGUGAGAGGUACUUCAGGGGUAGGGGUGAAAUCUUGUAAUCCUUGAAGGACCACCAGUGGCGAAGGCGUCUCACCAGAACGGACCUGACGGCAAGGGACGAAAGCUAGGGGCACGAACCGGAUUAGAUACCCGGGUAGUCCUAGCCGUAAACGAUACUCGCUAGGUGUCGGCCACGGUGCGACCGUUGUCGGUGCCGUAGGGAAGCCGUGAAGCGAGCCACCUGGGAAGUACGGCCGCAAGGCUGAAACUUAAAGGAAUUGGCGGGGGAGCACCACAACGGGUGGAGCUUGCGGUUUA